rnacentral:rRNA from 1 species
GAUCAUGGCUCAGAUUGAACGCUGGCGGAAUGCUUUACACAUGCAAGUCGAACGGUAGAGGGGGCAACCCCUUGAGAGUGGCGAACGGGUGAGUAAUAUAUCGGAACGUGCCCAGUCGUGGGGGAUAACGUAGCGAAAGCUACGCUAAUACCGCAUACGAUCUACGGAUGAAAGCGGGGGAUCGCAAGACCUCGCGCGAUUGGAGCGGCCGAUAUCAGAUUAGGUAGUUGGUGAGGUAAAGGCUCACCAAGCCGACGAUCUGUAGCUGGUCUGAGAGGACGACCAGCCACACUGGGACUGAGACACGGCCCCAGACUCCUACGGGAGGCAGCAGUGGGGAAUUUUGGACAAUGGGCGCAAGCCUGAUCCAGCAAUGCCGCGUGCAGGAUGAAGGCCUUCGGGUUGUAAACUGCUUUGUACGGAACGAAACGGUGAGCUCUAAUACAGUUUGCUAAUGACGGUACCGUAAGAAUAAGCACCGGCUAACUACGUG